UGAUCAUGGCUCAGGAGGUCGUAACAAGGUGAACCGUAGAGUUUGACGGCGGACGGGUGAGUAACACGUGGGUAACCUGCCCAUAAGACUGGGAUAACUCCGGGAAACCGGGGCUAAUACCGGAUAACAUUUUGAACCGCAUGGUUCGAAAUUGAAAGGCGGCUUCGGCUGUCACUUAUGGAUGGACCCGCGUCGCAUUAGCUAGUUGGUGAGGUAACGGCUCACCAAGGCAACGAUGCGUAGCCGACCUGAGAGGGUGAUCGGCCACACUGGGACUGAGACACGGCCCAGACUCCUACGGGAGGCAGCAGUAGGGAAUCUUCCGCAAUGGACGAAAGUCUGACGGAGCAACGCCGCGUGAGUGAUGAAGGCUUUCGGGUCGUAAAACUCUGUUGUUAGGGAAGAACAAGUGCUAGUUGAAUAAGCUGGCACCUUGACGGUACCUAACCAGAAAGCCACGGCUAACUACGUGCCAGC
rnacentral:rRNA from 2 species